rnacentral:rRNA from 1 species
GACGAACGCUGGCGGCGUGCUUAACACAUGCAAGUCGAACGGAAAGGCCCUGCUUUUGUGGGGUGCUCGAGUGGCGAACGGGUGAGUAACACGUGAGUAUCCUGCACUUGACUUUGGGAUAACUUCAGGAAACUGGGGCUAAUACCGGAUAGGAGCUCCUGCUGCAUGGUGGGGGUUGGAAAGUUUCGGCGGUUGGGGAUGGACUCGCGGCUUAUCAGCUUGUUGGUGGGGUAGUGGCUUACCAAGGGUUUGACGGAUAGGCGGCAUUGGAGCGUGACCGGGCACAAGGGGACUGAGGGACGGCGCAGACGGCUACGGGAGGCAACAGUGGGAAGUAUUACACAAUGGGCCGAAGCCUGUGAUAGCAACGCCGCGUUCGUGAAGACGGCCUACUGGUUGUAAACCGCUUUCUCCUGUGACGAAGCGUGAGUGACGGUAAUGAGUAAAGAAGCACCGGCUAACUACGUG